rnacentral:lncRNA from 1 species
ACCACUUAGGCAUCAAUUUGGGAAGUAUAGUUUCAACUGCAGCGAUUAAUGCUUCAGAUGUUGGGGUUCAAUUGAAUGACGGAUCAAUACACAGAGUUUGGAUAUCUUACGAUGGGCGAAAGCGUUUUAUGGACAUUCGGCUUGCACCUGAAGAAAAAGGAUAUCCUUCUAAAUCAGUCUACUCAGGUUUACUUGAUCUUUCACCUUACUUGAAUGAAUACAUGUUUGUUGGAUUUUCAGCUGCUACUGGUAACCAUACACAAAUUCACAACAUCCUGUCGUGGAAUUUCACUUCAAUUAGUCAAGCUUCGCUUCGGGUUCCUUCAACAGAGACAUGCCAGAACAGAAUCAUGCUUCAAAAUGACACACAAUCUGAAAUUGCGCAUCGUAAAACGCCUAAUAGUUUCUUCAUUUUCCUUGCUGUGGUCAUUCUUCUGGUAGUUGUUCUUAUUAACCUCUAUUUCAGUAGCUACAAGAAAGAUGACGAUUUCGACGAAGCAAUGACCACUCUGCCCGAGAAAAAGCAGAGACCGCGGCCACCAAACAAGGCGCGUCGCUUCACAAUAGCUGAGGUCUCCAUCGCAACACGGAAUUUCAGUGAGUUGCAAAUAUUAGGCAGUGAUGAAAAGAGCGUUACGUAUAAGGCUACGAUGCUGAAUGGGUGCAACGUUGUUGUAAAACGAUUUUUAACUCAGUUUUUCAACACCCACGGGUUUGAAAAGCGUCAAUUUCAUAAAGAGAUCAAGGCCAUCAGCAAAAUUCGUCACCCGAAUUUGGUCCCUAUUAGAGGAUGGUGCUAUGACAACCAAGAAACUAUAGUUGUCUACGAUUUCAUCCCAAAUGGAAGCCUCGAUAAAUGGCUGUUUGGUGUUGGUGUCUUGCCUUGGACGAGGCGUUUUAAGGUGGUUAAAGAUUUAGCAGAUUCUCUUGCAUACCUUCAUUCAAAACAACUUGCUCACAAGAAUGUUAAAAGUAGCAGUGUUUUUCUUGACGUGAGCUUCAGAGCAGUAGUGGGUGAUUUCGGGUUUGUGCUCACUUCAACCGGGUCGACCCGGUUUGAGUCCAUGGUGAGUCAAACAGCUGACGUGUUCGAGUUUGGAGUAGCCGUGUUAGAGGUCAUUGCGGGUCGGAGCAGGAAGUCCAACCCAGGUGAACGAGACUUGUUAGAUCUUGCAUGGGCAAUGCAUGAGGUACAACAGAAGGAAACUCUAGUGGAUCGAAGAAUGGGCGCGGUCGUGAACCUGGAGCAGGCUAUUAGGGCUUUGGAUAUCGGGUUACUUUGUACACUAAACGAGAACAAAGGAAGGCCUACGAUGGAAGAAGUAGUCGAGUUCCUGAAUAUGGAGAAACCAAUACCCGAAUUACCACCAGGUAGACCUGUUUGUUUGUUCCCGUACAGCAGUACCACAGGCUUGUGCAGUGGGUACGCUUGUACAGCAUUCAAAUGAUGCAACGUGGUUUGGUCGAUCGACAUAAAGUAGCCAAUUGGUGCUUCGUAUUCCACGUAAGGGGAUAUUAUUCUGUCAGUUUGGGUACGAAAUUAUGACAGGGAUAAGCACAUGUAUAUGCUAUGUGACGUUAUUUUCAUGAUAUAGACACCUAUUGUCGGGUCUCUUGUAGGAGUUAAAUAUUACAAGAACUCCUAAGAAGAUUUAAAAUUAUUCUGGAUUCACAUGUGCUAUAUAUUCGUAUGUAAUCUCUAUUCCUGCAUAAUUUUGUAUAAGAUAAAAAAUGUAAUUAUGUAACUUUUUUAUUACUUUUUUCGUGUAUUGUUAUAUUAAUAUUUAAGUUAAGGUGUUGCAUAAAUUAAAAUGGAUGGAAUACCAUAUAACAUCGGCCAAAUCAGAGUAGGAUUUUUACUGUCUGGUUAUAAAAAAAACAUUUCUAUACACUUUGUACACGCACUGGUGAAUAAACAAAAAUAAACCUAGGUAUCUUGUAUAUUUUUUUAAUAUAUAAAUAUAUCUACUAAGCAACAUUUUAAAAAAUAAUAUCUUCUCAUUAUUGAUUGAGAAGACAAGCGAGGUGCGGUGCAAUUUUUUGCUGUUGAAUUUGGAUAUGGAUGUAAGAAUUAGGCGCAUAUUUGUUUUAGCUGUGUGAAUCAGCUGCGUUGUUUUGCUCUUCUCAGACCUUGGCUUUGACGAGACUGCAUGAGACAAACAAAUUCAAGAUUUAAAUCUUUCAAAUUUCACUUUUAAUAUGUUUGUGUUGAAUUUAUGAUAUUUUUAGAGUUACGAAUUUAUAUUUAUUAGUUUAUUGUAAUUUUUAAAUUUUUACAUAAUUAAUUUUCAGAUGAAUCUAUCCCGUAAUGUUUAUGAUUUAGUUUUGUAGUCCUUCAUGUAUGCUAAUUAGCAGCCGGUGAACAUGAGAGUUGUCUUUUACGUGUGCUUGAUUUGAGAUUAUGUUUUUAGUAUUAAAAGCCAAUUAGAGUUUGUUCAUGUUCUAGUGCAGUAAACGGCAAAUUCAUUUUGAGCUUUGUAUUGUAAAGAGAGCAAAGAUUGUUACUGAAAUAUAAUCGCAAUUUUUUUCUAGUUUGAGACAUGUCGUUGAUAAUACUGUCCUUAAUAAUAUUUUAUCUAAUAUUAAAACCCACUCUCUUUAUAAACUUACUAAAGACAUUUUUUUUAUAUCCUUCAUUUUAUUAAAAUAUUAUUAAAAGCAUCUCUUAUAUAAUCAAUCAUUAAGCACGGUGGAUUAAAAAUUAAUUCGGGUUAUGUUAAGAGUCCUACGUACACAAAUCCACAACUUAAGUUUCGCUUAUCACAAAAAAUCUCAUCUCUCCAAACAUAUUACAUAAAUCUCAUUUUUCUCUAAAAAUGCAUAUACAUAGCUUUCUAUGUAUAUGUCGGCCCUAUUAUGUACAUGUCGGCCUUGUCAUACUUGUUAUGCAUAUGAAUCGGCCUUGUUAUGUAUAUGCCGGCCUUGCCAUAUACAAAGGUUUCUAUGUAUACGUCGGCCUUGUUAUGUAUAUUAAUCGGGAGAGAGAGUAAAGUAAUUAAGAAAAUGGAAGAGAGUGUAAAUAAUUCUAAUAAGGUUGGGAUUUAUGUUAUUUUUACUUAAAAAAUAGGAUAGGGUACUUGGUCCAAGAAGCAAUUUCUCUAUUUUUCUUUAUUUAUUUUUACAUAGUAUCAAAGCUAGGCUCAUCCAAAUUCUUUGUUCACUAAUAUUGGACCCCCAUAUUAUUUUGUUCAUGCUCCAGUUAACAAGAUUUGAACGUGCGCGGGGAGUGUUAAGAGUCUCACAUCGAAAAAAGAAUAUGUAUUUGGUCUCCUUAUAUGAUCUUGGACAAUUCUCCCCUCGUGAGCUAAUUUUUAAGGUUGAGUUAGCUCAACAUUCAUUCUCUGUAAGCCUAAUAAUGGCAUGUGUGACGUCUACAAAGUUUACAAUCAAGAUUAAUGGUGAAGGGCAUGGCUAUUUUGAAGGGAAGAGAGGGUUGAGACAAGGCGAUCCAAUGUCACCACUUCUAUUUGUACUAGUGAUGGAGUAUUUAAGUAGGAGCCUUAGAUUCAUGAGUGAAGUACCUGACUUCACUUGAGUGAAGUACCUGAUUUCACUUUUCAUCCUAUGUGUAAGAGGGGGUUGAGACAAGGCGAUCCAAUGUCACCACUUCCAUUAUACUAGAGAUGAAGUAUUUAAGUAGAAGCCUUAGAUGCAUGAGUGAAGUACCUGACUUCACUUUUCAUCCUAUGUGUAAGGCUACAAAAUUAACCCACCUGGUGUUUGCUAAUGAUUUGAUGUUAUUUUGUAAAGAAGAUAUAGCCUCUAUUAAUAGGAUUAUGGAAGUACUUGCACAUUUGGGUGAAGUGUCUGGACUGGUGGCAAACAUGGACAAAUCAAAUGUCUUUUUGGUUGGUACUGAUGUGAGCAUAAAAUAGGGGAUUUUGGAUCGAACAGGAUUCUCACUAGGCACAUUGCCUAUGAGGUUUCUUGGUCUACCAUUAACCUCAAAGAAGUGGUCUAAAUUAAAGUGGAUUGUCACACCCUAAUUGAGAAGAUUGCUAAUAGGAUCAGGACAGGUUAUACAAAGCAAUUAUUCUAUGCUGGGAGGAUACAAAUUAUCACUUUAGUCUUCUUCUCUAUGUAUAACUUUUGGGGGGCAGUGUUUAUUCUCCCCUAAAGUGUACUCCAGGAGAUUGACAAGAGAUGUAGAGAAUUUCUUUGGGGAGCUUCAAAAGGUCAGAGAAAGAUGAAUUUAGUGUCUUGGAAAGAUAUUUGCACUCCAAAAAAGUGUGGUGGGCUGAAUAUUAAAGAAAGUAAAAAUUGGAAUAUUACAGGUGUAGGCAAACUCGUAUGGCAAUUGACAGUGAAAAAAGAUGUUUUAUGGGCAAAAUGGGUCCAUGGAUUGUAUAUGAAGAUUAGUAGGGACAUUUGGAGUCACACGCUACCUCAGAACUGUAGUUGGUAUUGGAGAAAAUUAAAUACUUUGAAAGUUGAGAUGACAAACUGGUAAUCAGAUUUACUGUGGAGUUCAGUCAUGCUUCCAAAGCAAAGAGUAAUCAUGUGGCUAGCAUACAAAAAUAGAUUGCUUACUAAAGAGAGAAUGAAAAAGUUGGAACAUAUAUGUAGAAAAUGAGAACUGCAGCCUCUGUUAUGCAGAUGUACCUGAAACUGUCGAGCAUCUUUUUGUUGAGCAUCAAUGGGUGUCUGAGGUGGGGAAUACACUGGCGUCUUGGGCUGGGAUUGUGUUUCGAAAACAAGCUGCCAGGCAAAGUCUACAAUAGAUAAAGGGUCGAAGGUGGAAGCAACUCAAGAAGGAGAUAGCGGCUGCAAUUUGUGGAGCUUUAACGUAUUACACUUGGCAGGCAAGGAACUGAAAACUUUUCAGGCAAAUAAAUGUAAAUAGGGAGUUUAUAAUUACACAAAUUCAGAAAGAGUUGAAGGAGAGAGUACAGAUGACUUACCAAUUCAAAGAAAGCUAGGAAAUGUCAGAGUUUACUUCAAAAAUUUCGCAUUAAAGCUGUAGAGGAACAGUGAGAUUUGUGUUUUGUUCUUGUGGUCUGGAUGCUCA